rnacentral:lncRNA from 1 species
UGCCCGUUAAAUAAAUAAAUCUAAGUGAAAGUUUCAAAUAAAUAGAUCAAGUUUACAAGUUUAUUAUAAACAGAGGCUGUCUACCAGGAAGACAUGUACCCCUGUCAACACAACAGAACAACAUGAUGGAGCAUUUUAUAAAUCUACUUUGAGAAAAAAAAAUCAAGGGGGAGGGUUAUGAGGUGUUCAUACAUACAUGUACUUUAAAAUUGACCAGUUGGGACUGAAAGUUUAAGCAAUCUAUAUGUUUGCAUUAAUCUUUAUGGAUCAUGUGAUUUAAAGAUAAAUAAUUAACAUUACAAGAUAUGUUUUAUUAGAUUCCAUUGUUUCGAUUGGUAAACAACAGUCACAUGGUGUAACUAUAGUGAACUUUUAUGUCCCAAUAAAAUAUAACAUCUAUGACCUAUUAAGCUUUCAAAAACAUUACAGAAAUGAGUAUCA